rnacentral:rRNA from 1 species
CCUACGGGGGGCAGCAGUGGGGAAUAUUGCACAAUGGGCGCAAGCCUGAUGCAGCGACGCCGCGUGGGGGAUGACGGCCUUCGGGUUGUAAACUCCUUUCGCUAGGGACGAAGCGUUUUGUGACGGUACCUGGAGAAGAAGCACCGGCUAACUACGUGCCAGCAGCCGCGGUAAUACGUAGGGUGCGAGCGUUGUCCGGAAUUACUGGGCGUAAAGAGCUCGUAGGUGGUUUGUCGCGUCGUUUGUGUAAGCCCGCAGCUUAACUGCGGGACUGCAGGCGAUACGGGCAUAACUUGAGUGCUGUAGGGGAGACUGGAAUUCCUGGUGUAGCGGUGGAAUGCGCAGAUAUCAGGAGGAACACCGAUGGCGAAGGCAGGUCUCUGGGCAGUAACUGACGCUGAGGAGCGAAAGCAUGGGUAGCGAACAGGAUUAGAUACCCGUGUAGUC